AGCCACAAAGCAUCUCAGAGUACACCCAUAACCUGCUGAUGGUUAAUGGGAUACUUAGAAAUCAGGUGAGGUUAAAUGCUCCCACCUCCCUUUGUGCUACAAUAGUUGGGUUAGGCCCAGCACUAAUGCAAUAAGCAUCCUGUAAUAGGUGAAUUACCAGGAAAUUGGUACUUCCACGGCUCUUGGAUGCUGUGGGUACCAUUCUGAUUUUGGGGAGAGUCACAAAUAGGAAUUGUCUGGUAGGAACUGAGGGGGUAAGUGCCUAAAUAACAUGUUUCACAAGGGCUUGCUAACAGCUAACUGUAUUUUUACAGUCAAUGGACAGAGUGUCUGAGAGCAGUGCCAGACUGUGCGAACCACACAGAAAUACUUUAAAAAUAGAGUUCCGGAGGGAGGUAAGCAUUGCGGCUCCUUGGCUAGAAAGCCAGGCUAGUGCAGCUGCAGUCUCCUUACAUGAGUCUCAUAAAAGUCCUCAAAGUGAAGGCAAAGCAAGGACUGAAGCAGUUUUAAAAUUCUCAUUCCUGCUACAUUUUCCUCAUGCUGGCAGCAGCUGCGAGUCGUGGCACAAAGGGAAAAGGACUGAUCCUGGCAACAGCAGCGUGAGGAAGGCAGGGCAGGAAAGGGCUUCAUUAAAGCCAGGAGACAUUGCUUCUCCUUUGGGAAGAAGCACAGCUGGGAAGGCCAGUCCAGUGGCUGAAGGCAUCUAGCACCACUACAGCUUUCAGCGAUGGUGGUGAUGGGUUUGAAGAAGUCGUUACAUGCAGUUUGACAAACGGGAACUGCUGCACCAGAUCACACCAGCACCAUCUUACAGAGCCUUGUUUUCUGAUUUUGAAGCUAUGCCUUGUCAAUCUUUACAGGGGGCAUUUCUACUAGUACCACGAGGGAAUGUUUUUCUCUGCAGUUUGUCACAGACAAUGCUGAAAGCUGUAGCAGAAUAAAGGCUAUUUAUUUAGAUAUACGGUAAGCAA